GAAACCCAGCCCUAAUAGUUAUUUGGUUUUGGUUAGAUAAAGAUUUGAUGUUAAAACCAGCAUAAAAGAAUUAUAAUUAUUAAGAUAAACACAAUAUAUAAAUUAUCAUAUUUAGUGGUGGAUUUUUAUAAAUAAAAGUGAGAGCUUGUUUAAGUUAAUAUCAAUGAGGGGCAAAUAUUAGGUGCCAGCAGCUGCGGUUAUACCUAUUCUUCUCCUUUAUUUUUGGGCUAAAUAUAAAAUUUUAUUUUCAGAUUAAAAGAUCUUAGUUAGGUUAAAUUUUUAAGAUAUUUUUUUAUAUUCUGAAAAACUAAAUUAUCAAAAUUAUUAUAAAAACCAAGAUUAGGUACCUUAUUAUUAAUAAGAGUAAAUAUGAAUACCCAGAGUAGUAAUAUUUUGAAACUCAAAAGACCUGGCGGUGUUAAGAUUUCCUACCAGAGGAGUGUGCUAAGUAAUAGACAAUCCGCUAAUUAAUAAACCCUUAAAUGAUUUAGUCAGUGUACGGCCGCUAUGGUCAAUUUUAUUAGAAUAUCGAAAUUGGCACUAUAUUUCUACUUUAACUAGUUAAAACAGGUCAAUGUGCUGCUGAUGUAAGGGGUUGAAGGUGCGCUAUUUUAAUUAAGAUAAAAGAUUAUAUGUUUUAACACAUAUAUGAAUUCAGAUUUGGUAGUAACAAAAUAUAAAAUACGUUUUUGUGAACAUAGGUAAAGCUUCGUGUACACAUCGCCCGUCGCUCUUUUUAAAAGAAAAGAGAAGUCGUAACAUGGUAAUCUUAAUAGAAAUUGAGGUUU
rnacentral:ncRNA from 1 species